UACGGGGGGGGCAAGCGUUGUUCGGAAUUACUGGGCUUACAGAGUUCGUAGGCGGCUCUACAAGUGAGGUGUGAAAGCCCUCGGCUCAACCGAGGAACUGCGCUUCAAACUGUAGAACUAGAGGGAGAUAGAGGUGAGCAGAACUGAUGGUGGAGCGGUGAAAUGCGUUGAUAUCGGGAGGAACACCUGUGGCGAAAGCGGCGCACUGGACCACAACUGACGCUGAGGCGCGAAAGCUAGGGGAGCAAACAGG
rnacentral:rRNA from 1 species